ensembl:processed_transcript
AGAAGAAGAGUUCAGAGAGAGAGAAGAGCGAUAUAAAAGACUUAUUAGAGGGCGGGAGCAGAAGGAGAAUGAACUGAUAGAACAGAUGAAGCGAAUGCAGAAACAGAAACUAGAGGAACGACUGAGGAGAGAAGAAGAGAAACAGAAAUCCAAACUUCACCCGAGACUCCAAAAUCCAGUUAGUGAUCAGACAGCAGAUCUGAAUGUGGUCCUGCUGGGAAAAAGAGGAGCAGGGAAAAGUGCAUCAGGAAACACAAUCCUGGGAAGACAAGUUUUCAUCUCCAAGAAAAGUGCCAGACCAGUCACACGAGACGUCAAUGUGGAGUCUGGAUCAUUCUGUGAACUACCAGUCACUGUUUACGACACUCCAGGAUUGUUUGACACAAAGCUGAGGGAUGAAGAGAUUCAGCAGAUGAUCAGUGAGAAGGUCCUCCAGAAAUGUUCAUCAGGUCUGUGUGUGUUUCUGCUGGUCAUCAGAGCUGACAGAUUCACUGAAGAAGAGAGAAAAACUGUGGAGAAGAUUGAGAAGAUC